rnacentral:rRNA from 1 species
UACGGAGGGUGCAAGCGUUGUCCGGAAUCACUGGGCGUAAAGGGCGUGUAGGCGGCCCGGUAAGUAGGGGGUGAAAUCUUGCGGCUCAACCGCAAGGCUGCCUUCUAAACUGCCAGGCUUGAGCACAGUAGAGGCAGGUGGAAUUCCCGGUGUAGCGGUGGAAUGCGUAGAGAUCGGGAAGAACAUCGGUGGCGAAGGCGGCCUGCUGGGCUGUUGCUGACGCUGAGGCGCGAAAGCGUGGGGAGCGAACAGG